GCUUGCCUUCCCUGCUUUCACAGAGACUCUGACACAAAAAACUCUGAAGAUUCCUGCUGAGAUAAUUUUAAAGGUGUCUGCUUGCUGCCAGCUGCCACUUACCACUACCAGAGAAGUCAGUUUUAUAGGACAUAGAUUGGAUCAUUUUAAACUAAUCUCUGCAAAACACCCCCAGUUCAUUGGGAGGAGGAAAAAGUGUUCGAUAAUGCCACCUCUGCAAGUUGCUUGGAUGGGUGGAAGAAAGUAGGAGAAAAGCCCAAGAGAUUGCCCAUGGCAGUUCUUUGCUAUGCUCUAUAACCUGAGAAUGAAGGAAUUAA